rnacentral:lncRNA from 1 species
GAAGUCUUCAGCCUCAUUUUGCACAAACCUGGCAAUACUGACUUGGGGGACGGGCAGGGGGGAGAUGGGGGGAUUUUAGGAGGCAGGGGUAGGAUGUUGGAGGGACAUUCACACCACCCACCUGGGGUCUGACGUUUGAGGAGGGUGUGAUCCACCUCCCCCCUCCACCGGCCACCCCUUUUCCCUUCCAGUCUGGUUUCCGUUUGAAUUUUCUCCGUUUGCGGGGGCGGGGGAUGGCUUGGAGCCGCACCCCUCCUUCCAGCUGCUUCUCCUCUUGUUUCUGCCUUAAUGAUUCCCACGGCCAUAGGAGGGGGGGUUGCAGUGGCUCCCACCUGCACCUUGGGUGGAGUAGGGCCAGGCCUAGAGCCCCCAUCGUGGGCACAGCCCCCUCCCCAGCAUCCUCCUACCCCCCCUCCCCGACUCUUUGCCCUAGGAGGAAGCAAUAACGGUGUACACCCACGUCCCCUUUCUGGGCAGCCCUUCCCACCCUGGCAACCAAGGUAAUUUCUCCUUUGCCCGCACCUUGCCAAGCCUCCCCCUCUACCCCUAGCUCUUCCCCCAAGCAAUACGACAGACAGAUGCAAGGCCAUUUUUCUCCAAGCCAUGGGGGGCUGUUUGGAAAGAAAGACCCCCUCUUCCCCUUCCGCUCUGCCCCUCAGCCUGGCUCUGCAGCUGGGCAGGACCGGCCUCUCUCUCUCAUCUCUCUCCCCUCCAGUUCGGAGCACACGGUACUGUAGCCCCCAGCUCCCCCCAGCCUUCCAUCUGUCUGUCCUUCCCUGUGGGGAGUACCACCCGCUCCCACCCCCAUGAUGCUGUACAGGGUUCAUUUUUGUAGCGAAAGUAGUUUCAGUCCCAGCCGGCCACCGGAGUGGGCCUUUUGUUUUUUUUUUUCUUUGGUUUUCCUUCUUUCUUUGUUUCUUUUCUUCUCUUUCUUUCUUUCUUUCUUUUUUUUGUACAUACUGUAAGGUUGGUUUGUAAAUUAUUCUACAGAGGCAAAAAGGGAAAAUAAACUUGCCCUUCCCCCGCUGACUCAGGGGAAGGAGGGUUUGGGGGUCUCCCGAUGGGAGUCUCCAUUCCUGCUGUAUUAUACAAACUGUACCAUAGACCCCCGGAAGUGUGGACUCAGCGCUGUUGUUGAACGGCGAGUCAUGUCAUCAGAGGGGGUGAGGGAGGACUGCGCAGAGCCUGCCCCUCCCCCGGCCCCAGGGCCAGGAGUGAUUGGCAACUGGGGACAGGGACCCCGGGGGGCGGGGGAGGAGGAGUCAGGACCCCCUUGAGCUGCUCGAUGAUCAGUCAGUCGGAUCAGUCGGUCUGCUGAUGGAUACUCAAUCCUUCGAUCUUGUCUCCAAUUAAACCGAGGCUUUCACCG